rnacentral:rRNA from 1 species
AAUUAAUAAAUUAUUAAUUUGUUAGUGUUUAUUUUAUAAUCAAAAUAUUGUAGGUUUAAUUUUUUCUAGAAAAAAUAUUUUUUAUCAUAGUGUAAAGUAUCGUAGGAGAAUUUUUUUAAAUUUAAAAAAGAAAAUUUAAUUUGUUGUACCUUGUGUCUCAGGGUUCAUUAAAAUAUUGAUUAAUUUAAUUUCUUCCCGAAUUUAAAAGAGCUAAUAAACUAGGUUUUUAAUGUUUUAAAAUUAUUAUUAAUAGUUUAUUGGAUGUGAAAUAUAAAGCGUUUUUAAAUAUAUCUGGUUUUUAAGGAAUUUAAUUUAAUUAAGGUUAUAUUAUAUUUAUAUAUUUUAUUUUUGGUUUAUAAAUUAAUUUAACUAAUUUUUAAGGGGGUAAGCUCUUAAAUUUAAAUUUAAAAAUUGUUUUUAUUUUUUGGUAAAUAGGAUUAUAAUUGUUCAGUUUUAGUAGUAUUUAAUAAUUAUUCUUUUUAGUAUAAUUAUUUUUAGUUUUUUAAGUUUUUACUUGAAUGUUGGUUUAAUUUUUAAAAAUUAAGUAACAAUGAUGGAAUUAUUAUAAAUUUAAUUUUUAUAUUAAAGUUAAUUUUAAGUCAAUAGAAAGGAAUUCGGCAAUAAUUGUUUUCCACCUGUUUAUUAAAAACAUGUCUUUUUGAUUUUAAUUUAAAGUCUGACCUGCCCAAUGAUAAUUGAAUGGCCGCAGUAUUUUAACUGUGCAAAGGUAGCAUAAUCAUUAGUUUCUUUAUUAGGAACUGGAAUGAAUGGUUGGAUGAGAAAAUAUCUGUCUCUUUGUUGAUUUUUUAAAAUUUUAUAUUUGAGUGAAAAAGCUUAAAUAAAUUAUAAAGACGAGAAGACCCUAUAGAGUUUAAUAUAAUUUUGGUUUUUUAAAAUUAGAAUUUUUUUUUAAAAAAAUUAAAAAUAUUUAAUUGGGGUGAUUUAAAAACUAAUUUAACUUUUUAUUUAUUUUACCGUUUUAAAUGAUUGGUUGAUCCUAAAUUUUAGAUUAAAAGAUUAAAUUACCUUAGGGAUAACAGCGUAAUUUUCUUAGAGAGUUCAAAUUGAAAGGAAAGUUUGCGACCUCGAUGUUGAAUUAAAAUUUAUAUUAGGUGCAGAAGCUUUAAUAUUAAGUCUGUUCGACUUUUAAAAUUUUACAUGAUUUGAGUUUAAACCGGCGUGAGCCAGGUUGGUUUCUAUCUUUUAAGGAUUAAAAUAUUUUAGUACGAAAGGACCAAGUAUUUAAAUAAUAUUUUUAUAUUGAAUAAAAGU